CCCGCACAAGCGGUGGAGUAUGUGGUUUAAUCGAUGCAACGCGAAGAACCUUACCUGGUCUUGACAUCCCGGAGACCCUUAGGAAACUAGGGGGUGCUUCCAUCUGGAAGAAUCUGGAGACAGGUGCUGCAUGGCUGUCGUCAGCUCGUGUCGUGAGAUGUUGGGUUAAGUCCCGCAACGAGCGCAACCCUUGCCUUUAGUUGCCAGCAGUUCGGCUGGGCACUCUAAAGGGACUGCCGGUGUUAAACCGGAGGAAGGUGGGGAUGACGUCAAGUCCUCAUGGCCUUUAUGACCAGGGCUACACACGUACUACAAUGGCCGAUACAAAGGGCAGCGACACUGCGAGGUGAAGCCAAUCCCGUAAAAUCGGUCUCAGUCCGGAUUGGAGUCUGCAACUCGACUCCAUGAAGUUGGAAUCGCUAGUAAUCGUGGAUCAGCAUGCCACGGUGAAUACGUUCCCGGGCCUU
rnacentral:rRNA from 1 species